GAACAGACGAGGAGCUUGCUCCUCUGACGUUAGCGGCGGACGGGUGAGUAACACGUGGAUAACCUACCUAUAAGACUGGGAUAACUUCGGGAAACCGGAGCUAAUACCGGAUAAUAUAUUGAACCGCAUGGUUCAAUAGUGAAAGACGGUUUUGCUGUCACUUAUAGAUGGAUCCGCGCUGCAUUAGCUAGUUGGUAAGGUAACGGCUUACCAAGGCAACGAUGCGUAGCCGACCUGAGAGGGUGAUCGGCCACACUGGAACUGAGACACGGUCCAGACUCCUACGGGAGGCAGCAGUAGGGAAUCUUCCGCAAUGGGCGAAAGCUUGACGGAGCAACGCCGCGUGAGUGAUGAAGGUCUUCGGAUCGUAAAACUCUGUUAUUAGGGAAGAACAAAUGUGUAAGUAACUAUGCACGUCUUGACGGUACCUAAUCAGAAAGCCACGGCUAACUACGUGCCAGCAGCCGCGGUAAUACGUAGGUGGCAAGCGUUAUCCGGAAUUAUUGGGCGUAAAGCGCGCGUAGGCGGUUUUUUAAGUCUGAUGUGAAAGCCCACGGCUCAACCGUGGAGGGUCAUUGGAAACUGGAAAACUUGAGUGCAGAAGAGGAAAGUGGAAUUCCAUGUGUAGCGGUGAAAUGCGCAGAGAUAUGGAGGAACACCAGUGGCGAAGGCGACUUUCUGGUCUGUAACUGACGCUGAUGUGCGAAAGCGUGGGGAUCAAACA
rnacentral:rRNA from 1 species